AACGAACGCUGGCGGCAGGCCUAACACAUGCAAGUCGAGCGAGGACUUCGGUCCUAGCGGCGGACGGGUGAGUAACGCGUGGGAACGUGCCCUUUGCUUCGGAAUAGCCCUGGGAAACUGGGAGUAAUACCGGAUGAGCCCUUUGGGGGAAAGAUUUAUCGGCGAAGGAUCGGCCCGCGUUGGAUUAGGUAGUUGGUGGGGUAAUGGCCUACCAAGCCGACGAUCCAUAGCUGGUUUGAGAGGAUGAUCAGCCACACUGGGACUGAGACACGGCCCAGACUCCUACGGGAGGCAGCAGUGGGGAAUCUUAGACAAUGGGGGAAACCCUGAUCUAGCCAUGCCACGUGAGCGAUGAAGGCCUUAGGGUUGUAAAGCUCUUUCAGCUGGGAAGAUAAUGACGGUACCAGCAGAAGAAGCCCCGGCUAACUCCGUG
rnacentral:rRNA from 1 species